rnacentral:siRNA from 1 species
AGAUGGUGUAUGUGAAUGUCGGA